AGAGUUUGAUCAUGGCUCAGAUUGAACGCUGGCGGCAUGCCUUACACAUGCAAGUCGAACGGUAACAGGUCUUCGGAUGCUGACGAGUGGCGGACGGGUGAGUAACACGUGGGAAUCUGCCUUUUGGUUCGGGAUAACCGCGGGAAACUGCGGCUAAUACCGAAUGCCCUCGAGAGAGGAAAGAUUUAUCGCCAGAAGAGGAGCCCGCGUCCGAUUAGGUAGUUGGUGGGGUAAAGGCCUACCAAGCCGACGAUCGGUAGCUGGUCUGAGAGGAUGAUCAGCCACACUGGGACUGAGAUACGGCCCAGACUCCUACGGGAGGCAGCAGUGGGGAAUAUUGGACAAUGGGGGCAACCCUGAUCCAGCAAUGCCGCGUGAGUGAUGAAGGCCUUAGGGUUGUAAAGCUCUUUUGCCAGGGAAGAUGAUGACUGUACCUGGAGAAUAAGCCCCGGCUAACUUCGUG
rnacentral:rRNA from 1 species